rnacentral:tRNA from 1 species
GUUAGGGUGGCAGAGCCAGGUACAUGCACAAGGCCUAAAAUCUUCACCACAGAAGUUCAAAUCUUCUCCCUAACC